GUCGUGGAUUCGGCGUGAACAAAGGCGGUUCGUGGAUUCGGAUCGUUGGCUCGUGGAUUCGAGUAGCGUCGUGGAUUCGGCGUGAUUGAAGCUUAGUGGAUUCGAAGUGGAGGCGUUCGUGGACUCGAACGUGAGGACGUGGACAACCCGGCGGGUAGCGCGAAGAUUCAUAGGAGGUUAAGAGAGGUUGAGUCCGUGGAGUCG
rnacentral:lncRNA from 1 species